rnacentral:rRNA from 1 species
CUAGUAUAGCAUUAUACGGCGAAACUGCGAAUGGCUCAUUAAAUCAGUUAUCGUUUAUUUGAUAGUACCUUACUACUUGGAUAACCGUGGUAAUUCUAGAGCUAAUACAUGCUAAAAAACCCGACUUACGGAGGGUUGUAUUUAUUAGAUUAAAAACCAAUGCCCUUCGGGGCUUACUGGUGAUUCAUAAUAACUUCUCGAAUCGCAUGGCCUUGUGCCGGCGAUGGUUCAUUCAAAUUUCUGCCCUAUCAACUUUCGAUGGCAGGGUCUUGGCCUGCCAUGGUUACAACGGGUAACGGAGGGUUAGGGCUCGACCCCGGAGAAGGAGCCUGAGAAACGGCUACUACAUCCAAGGAAGGCAGCAGGCGCGCAAAUUACCCAAUCCCGAUUCGGGGAGGUAGUGACAAUAAAUACUGAUACAGGGCUCUUUUGGGUCUUGUAAUUGGAAUGAGUACAAUUUAAAUCCCUUAACGAGGAACAAUUGGAGGGCAAGUCUGGUGGACUCCAGUCCCAAAGCUGGCGCCAGAAAUAGUGGUAAGCCCUAUAAAAUCCACUAGUCGGGUAUCAGAAAACGCGGGAAGAUACCCGGCAAGGCAACCUGGACACGAGGGAGGCUAAAGGAGUAAAAUCCCACGCCAAUCUCGGGCAGAAGACCUCUGGUCGUCUGUUUAGAGCGCGGUAAGGUGCCGGUCACUGAGAAGAACCUACCCUGUAAGACUUACCCUGUAAGGCCUACCCGGUAGAUCAGUGGCUCGAGGGACGUGCCAUCACUCGCGAAAGCGAGCUUUUAGUUCCAAGGCCCCGCCGGCCGAAGAACGAAGAGCCUAAAACUUAGGUGUUAUAGCGUAUGAUAUAGUGGCCAGCAGCCGCGGUAAUUCCAGCUCCAAUAGCGUAUAUUAAAGUUGUUGCAGUUAAAAAGCUCGUAGUUGAACCUUGGGCCUGGCUGGGCCGGUCCGCCUCACCGCGUGCACUGGUUCGGCCGGGCCUUUCCCUCUGGGGAACCCCAUGCCCUUCACUGGGUGUGGGUGGGAACCAGGACUUUUACUGUGAAAAAAUUAGAGUGUUCAAAGCAGGCCUAUGCUCGAAUAGCUCAGCAUGGAAUAAUAAAAUAGGACGUGCGGUUCUAUUUUGUUGGUUUCUAGGACCGCCGUAAUGAUUAAUAGGGACAGUCGGGGGCAUCAGUAUUCAAUUGUCAGAGGUGAAAUUCUUGGAUUUAUUGAAGACUAACUACUGCGAAAGCAUUUGCCAAGGAUGUUUUCAUUAAUCAGGAACGAAAGUUAGGGGAUCGAAGACGAUUAUCUGGUCGUCGAAAGUCGGGCUACGGCCCAGCUAGUCUAUAGUUAUAGGCGACACCGUCAAAUUGCGGGGACCUCCUUAGAGCCUCUACCACACCCAACCGCUAGAAAUAGCGGCUGGUCGUAAUAGUGUAGGGGAUUGGACGAUCCGCAGCCAAGUCCUUCUUACCGGGAGAACUUACCCUGUAACACCUACCCGGUAGAGCUUACCCUGUAAGAGCUACCCGGGAGGAGCUACCCUGUAAGAGCUACCCGGUAAUGGAUGCAGUUCACAGACUAGACGUCGGUGGGGGGCACUCAGCGGCCUUCUAAGAUAUAGUCGAACCAUAUCUGAAAAGAAUAUGUAGUGGGAUAAAACGCAGAUACCGUCGUAGUCUUAACCAUAAACUAUGCCGACUAGGGAUCGGACGAUGUUAUUUUUUGACUCGUUCGGCACCUUACGAGAAAUCAAAGUCUUU